CAACAGGGAUUGCCCUAGUAACGGCGAGUGAAGCGGCAACAGCUCAAAUUUGAAAUCUGGCGUCUUUGGCGUCCGAGUUGUAAUUUGCAGAGGGCGCUUUGGCAUUGGCAGCGGUCCAAGUUCCUUGGAACAGGACGUCACAGAGGGUGAGAAUCCCGUACGUGGUCGCUAGCCUUUACCGUGUAAAGCCCCUUCGACGAGUCGAGUUGUUUGGGAAUGCAGCUCUAAAUGGGAGGUAAAUUUCUUCUAAAGCUAAAUACUGGCCAGAGACCGAUAGCGCACAAGUAGAGUGAUCGAAAGAUGAAAAGCACUUUGGAAAGAGAGUUAAAAAGCACGUGAAAUUGUUGAAAGGGAAGCGCUUGCAGCCAGACUUGCCUGUAGUUGCUCAUCCGGGUUUUUACCCGGUGCACUCUUCUAUAGGCAGGCCAGCAUCAGUUUGGGCGGUUGGAUAAAGGUCUCUGUCACGUACCUCCUCUCGGGGAGAACUUAUAGGGGAGACGCAAUGCAACCAGCCUGGACUGAGGUCCGCGCAUCUGCUAGGAUGCUGGCGUAAUGGCUGUAAGCGGCCCGUCUUGAAACACGGACCAAGGAGUCUAACAUCUAUGCGAGUGUUUGGGUGUCAAGCCCGAGCGCGUAAUGAAAGUGAACGGAGGUGGGAACCUUUCGGGGUGCACCAUCGACCGAUCCUGAUGUCUUCGGAUGGAUUUGAGUAAGAGCAUAGCUGUUGGGACCCGAAAGAUGGUGAACUAUGCUUGAAUAGGGUGAAGCCAGAGGAAACUCUGGUGGAGGCUCGCAGCGGUUCUGACGUGCAAAUCGAUCGUCAAAUUUGGGCAUAGGGGCGAAAGACUAAUCGAAC
rnacentral:rRNA from 1 species